rnacentral:rRNA from 1 species
GAGCGGCGAACGGGUGAGUAACACGUGAGUAACCUGCCCUGGACUUUGGGAUAACCCUCGGAAACGGGGGCUAAUACCGGAUACGACUUUUNCUCGCAUGGGGAAGGGUGGAAAGUUUUUCGGUCUGGGAUGGGCUCGCGGCCUAUCAGCUUGUUGGUGGGGUGAUGGCCUACCAAGGCGACGACGGGUAGCCGGCCUGAGAGGGCGACCGGCCACACUGGGACUGAGACACGGCCCAGACUCCUACGGGAGGCAGCAGUGGGGAAUAUUGCACAAUGGGCGGAAGCCUGAUGCAGCGACGCCGCGUGAGGGAUGACGGCCUUCGGGUUGUAAACCUCUUUCAGCAGGGACGAAGCGUAAGUGACGGUACCUGCAGAAGAAGCGCCGGCCAACUACGUGCCAGCAGCCGCGGUAAGACGUAGGGCGCGAGCGUUGUCCGGAUUUAUUGGGCGUAAAGAGCUCGUAGGCGGCUUGUCGCGUCGAAUGUGAAAACCUGCAGCUCAACUGCAGGCUUGCAUUCGAUACGGGCAGGCUCGAGUUCNGGUAGGGGAGACUGGAAUUCCU